CCGAGUUUCACUCCCAAACCCCUGUGAACAUACCAAUUGUUGCCUCGGCGGAUCAGCCCGCUCCCGGUAAAACGGGACGGCCCGCCAGAGGACCCCUAAACUCUGUUUCUAUAUGUAACUUCUGAGUAAAACCAUAAAUAAAUCAAAACUUUCAACAACGGAUCUCUUGGUUCUGGCAUCGAUGAAGAACGCAGCAAAAUGCGAUAAGUAAUGUGAAUUGCAGAAUUCAGUGAAUCAUCGAAUCUUUGAACGCACAUUGCGCCCGCCAGUAUUCUGGCGGGCAUGCCUGUUCGAGCGUCAUUUCAACCCUCAAGCCCUCGGGUUUGGUGUUGGGGAUCGGCGAGCCCUUGCGGCAAGCCGGCCCCGAAAUCUAGUGGCGGUCUCGCUGCAGCUUCCAUUGCGUAGUAGUAAAACCCUCGCAACUGGUACGCGGCGCGGCCAAGCCGUUAAACCCCCAACUUCUGAAUGUUGACCUCGGAUCAGGUAGGAAUACCCGCG
rnacentral:rRNA from 1 species